rnacentral:lncRNA from 1 species
UUGAUGUGUUACGGGUUUUGUUGUUUGUGUUACAGAUAAGUAGCAUCUUCCGCAGAUCCAUGCGAAGAAAAAAUACAGUAAUUGGGGACCAGUAACGUUCUGGAUCUAAUGCAGUUACAACUUUCAAGAGCACAUUGCAAUCUGGUUUCUUACCCAUUUUAUACAGGCUAGGGAGCUAGCCUUUGCAGAUAUGGGAUAAAGAAGUCAAAUAUUAGAUAAGCCAUCAGAGAAUGUCUGCUUCCGCACCGCAAAUUUUGAGAUGACAAUUGUAACAAAAAUGGUUCAAAGUCAGCUUUCUGGAACAAGUUGUCUGGGCUUCUACAGGCAAGUUGCACAACUGACCAGUUAUGUAUAACGAAGAAGCAUUUGUUGUCCAUCAUAUGACCUCGGUGCCAGAGGCUAAGCAACGCAAGGCUGGUGUUGUAUCUGUUUGGGUCAGAGAACCUUAAAAAGAUGCUUCUUGAAUAUUUUGGGCUUUGAGGAAUAUGUUAUUACUAUGGAUUAUGUAAGAAUUUAUAUUUUAGACAUAGGUGGAGUUCUGACCAAUGUAAUGGGAGAAUUCAAAAGCAAGCUUUUGUUUACUGGGGUGAGUUUUAAAUCACCUAAAUUACACACCAGACCAGUUCUAUUUUGGAGUUGAGCUAUAAAUUCAUUGCACCCAUAUAUAUAUGUACGUAAAAAUUUGUCUAAUUUAAUCACGUGGUAGUUUUUACUCUUACUUGAAUAACUUUUUUAAUCAUUACCAGGUUGUACUUGAAGGCAAAUGGAAAGAAGGUUACCUAGCAAUGGCUCCAGUAGGUGCAACAAAUGUAGGGUAGGGAUGAGCUUAGUACCGAAAAUCCCCAAAAGUAUGUCCACUUCUUCAUUAGUUUAUGUAAUACAGUAUUUUUUUUCUAUUUAAUCUAUUUAUAUAUUUAU